rnacentral:rRNA from 1 species
UACGUAGGGUGCAAGCGUUGUUCGGAUUCAUUGGGCGUAAAGGGUGUGUAGGUGGCGCGCUAAGUCGGGUGUGAAAUUUCGGAGCUUAACUCCGAAACUGCAUUCGAUACUGGCGUGCUUGAGGACUGGAGAGGAGACUGGAAUUUACGGUGUAGCAGUGAAAUGCGUAGAUAUCGUAAGGAAGACCAGUGGCGAAGGCGGGUCUCUGGACAGUUCCUGACACUGAGACACGAAGGCCAGGGGAGCAAACGGG